rnacentral:misc_RNA from 1 species
GAUGAAGAACGUAGCGAAAUGCGAUAAGUAAUGUGAAUUGCAGAAUUCAGUGAAUCAUCGAAUCUUUGAACGCACAUUGCGCCCGCCAGUAUUCUGGCGGGCAUGCCUGUUCGAGCGCCAUUUCAACCAUCAAGCCCCCCGGCUUGUGUUGGGGACCUGCGGCUGCCGCAGGCCCUGAAAAGCAGUGGCGGGCUCGCUGUCACACCGAGCGUAGUAGAUCUCAUCUCGCUCAGGGCGUGCUGCGGGUUCCGGCCGUUAAACCACCUUCAUAACCCAAGGUUGACCUCGGAUCAGGUAGGAAGACCCGCUGAACUUAAGCAUAUCAAUAAGCGGAGGA